rnacentral:rRNA from 1 species
GACAGAGUGUGCAAACGUUGUUCGGAAUUACUGGGCGUAAAGCGCGUGUAGGCGGCAGGGCAAGUCGGAUGUGAAAGCCCACGGCUCAACCGUGGAAGUGCACCCGAAACUGCCUCGCUAGAGUCUCGGAGAGGAAGGUGGAAUGCUUGGUGUAGAGGUGAAAUUCGUAGAUAUCAAGCGGAACACCGGUGGCGAAGGCGGCCUUCUGGACGAUGACUGACGCUGAGACGCGAAAGCGUGGGGAGCAAACAGG